UGGGGAAUAUUGGACAAUGGGCGCAAGCCUGAUCCAGCCAUGCCGCGUGAGUGACGAAGGUCUUCGGAUUGUAAAGCUCUUUUGGCGGGGACGAUAAUGACUGUACCCGCAGAAUAAGCCCCGGCUAACUUCGUG
rnacentral:rRNA from 1 species